GUGGUGGCUCAGUGGUAGAGCACUUGCCUAGCAUGUGGGAGGCACUGGGUUUGAUUCUCAGAACCACA
rnacentral:tRNA from 1 species